UGGGGAAUUUUGGACAAUGGGCGAAAGCCUGAUCCAGCAAUGCCGCGUGUGUGAAGAAGGCCUUCGGGUUGUAAAGCACUUUUGUCCGGAAAGAAAUCCUUGGCUCUAAUACAGUCGGGGGAUGACGGUACCGGAAGAAUAAGCACCGGCUAACUACGUGCCAGCAGCCGCGGUAAUACGUAGGGUGCAAGCGUUAAUCGGAAUUACUGGGCGUAAAGCGUGCGCAGGCGGUUCGCUAAGACCGAUGUGAAAUCCCCGGGCUCAACCUGGGAACUGCAUUGGUGACUGGCAGGCUAGAGUAUGGCAGAGGGGGGUAGAAUUCCACGUGUAGCAGUGAAAUGCGUAGAGAUGUGGAGGAAUACCGAUGGCGAAGGCAGCCCCCUGGGCCAAUACUGACGCUCAUGCACGAAAGCGUGGGGAGCAAACAGGAUUAGAUACCCUGGUAGUCCACGCCCUAAACGAUGUCAACUAGUUGUUGGGGAUUCAUUCCUUAGUAACGUAGCUAACGCGUGAAGUUGACCGCCUGGGGAGUACGGUCGCAAGAUUAAAACUCAAAUGAAUUGACGGGGUCAUAGCUG
rnacentral:rRNA from 1 species